rnacentral:rRNA from 1 species
AUUGAACGCUAGCGGCAUGCUUUACACAUGCAAGUCGAACGAGUGGCGGACGGGUGAGUAAUAUCUCGGAACGUGCCCAAUCGCGGGGGAUAACUACUCGAAAGAUUGGCUAAUACCGCAUACUAUUGUAUCGGCCGAUAUGGGUUUAGCUAGUGGGUGGGGUAAAGGCUCACAAAGGCCACGAUCCUUAGCUGGUUUGAGAGGACGACCAGCCACACUGGGACUGAGAAACGGCCCAGACUCCUACGGGAGGCAGCAGUGGGGAAUAUUGGACAAUGGGGGAAACCCUGAUCCAGCCAUGCCGCGUGUAUGAGAAGGCCUUCGGGUUGUAAAGUACUGUUGGCAGAGAAGCGGUAUCUGCAGAAUAAGCACCGGCUAACUACGUGCCAGCAGCCGCGGUAAUUC